rnacentral:tRNA from 1 species
GUGGGUGUGGCCUAGUUGGUUAGGGCGCCAGAUUGUGGCUCUGGAGGUCGUGGGUUCAAAUCCCAUCACUCACCCCA